UUUCAUAAAUGGGAUGGAAUCUACAGGUUACAGGAUGUGUCUGAAGAUGUCUCUACAAUGAAUGUUUCCCUGUAAUGUUCCUGAAAAGAGAAUUGUACGCUACUUUGACACUCUGUUGCUAGCUUAGAGUUGCAGGAGAAAGGCUGAAAGAUCCAUCUCCCUCUUGAAGCUGGAUGGAUGAACUGAAGCGGCAGACAGAGCCUGGAGGGAGAAAGGAAAGAACUGGCAUACGUAAAUUAUCAUAGAUCUAUACAGCAGCAAGACAAACAUCUCUGUCCGGUCUUCCUGAUAUAUGUCAAAGACCUCUUGCAAAAACCCUGCUGUGGACACAGAAUGCAUUACAGGAGUGGAAAAGCAUUUUACACCUUUACUGCUGGUCAUUGCUUGGCGCAGCACAUCUGCAAGGCACAGGAUCACCCAACAUGACAGAGUACCGUGGGGAAAUGAAGAAAUGUGUGUUUGAGAUGUGAUUCGGAAGAGACUAUCAAAAGGAAAGGAUUGCUGUACAGCUCUGAAUAUGCUCCUUCCUCAGCUGAUGAGAGACAUCUUCUUACAGCAUCUGGGGGUCUGAUAAAGCCACAACACUGACACUGACUGUCGACUUUCACCUUUGAUGCGUCUCCCCUGCCUCCAGGAUGGCACCCCGGUUUCUUUGCCAGAUAUAAAGUGAACCUCGGGGAAAGCAGAGUCGGAGCUGAGAGAAGCAGGAGAAGGAUGAAUCCCAGAGGAUACCAUGAUCAGCUGAGUUUUCAGUUUGAAGUUCUGGAGCUGGAGGGCUGCAUUCCCUGACGGACUAGAAAUAACUGCAGGCUCCAAAUCCCCACUAAUUCAGGGCAGCGUUCUUGAAUUUGCCUACUUAAUGACAGAUGCAUAAACUUACUUUGAGUUAAAUUGUCAAGGAAGCCCAUGAACGCUUGAAGGAGGAACUGGACAAGAGAAGAACACCUGUAGUUACCAACGAAGAAGAGCUCUUCAGUGUAUCCGUCACCAUACAAAUGUGGGUGGAGAUGUUCCCUUCCCCUAUGAGCUCAUCGACCAUACAGACAAGACAAAUUCAGGCUGCAGGAUGGAUUGGUCAUACACUGUCCAGAAGUGGGAGAUCCAGCCAUCUUUAUGAAAGGACUGUGUUUUUAAACAUGAAAAACGCCCUAAGAAUGGUCCAAAGAGUAGAAAAGAAAGGUUGGAAACCAAUAGGGAUAAACAAACAAACAACAAAAUAAACCACCCUGCAGAUUUUCAACUUUCAGUGUCAUUUCAAAUUUCAGGAAAUAAAUGUGGAAAACAGACUGAUGACAGCUUUGUGACAUCCACCCCUCUGCCUCCGAGUGCCUUUUAUCCAACAGGAAAACAAAGCAUGCAGUUAAGGAAGACUGGAAAAAUUAAGGAUUUCAGGGGCAAUAUAAAGAGGAGAAAAAUGGCAACGGACUGCUCUGCUUCUAAUGACAUCAAGUGAUUUGAAUCUGACACUGAUGGGAAAAUUUGAGAAGCUACCAUCAAUUCUCUCACAUCUUUUUCUCCUUGCCUUCCCUCUGGGCUCAGAA
ensembl:lncRNA